GCUGGCGGCGUGCCUAACACAUGCAAGCGAACGAGAAGCUAAUUCUGAUUCCUUCGGAUGAUGAAGUUAGCAGAAAGUGGCGAACGGGUGAGUAACGCGUGGGUAAUCUAACCCUGUAAGUCGGGGGAUAAACCCUCCGAAAGGAGGGCUAAUACCGCAUAAUAUCUUCUCCUCCCAGGAAGAGAAGAUUAAAGAUGGCCUCUAUACUAUGCUAUCACUUCAGGAUGAGCCUGCGUCCUAUUAGUUAGUUGGUGGGGUAAUGGCCUACCAAGACUACAAUGGGGUAGCCGGUCUGAGAGGAUGUACGGCCACACUGGGACUGAGAUACGGCCCAGACUCCUACGGGAGGCAGCAGUGGGGAAUAUUGCGCAAUGGGGGAAACCCUGACGCAGCGACGCCGCGUGGAUGAUGAAGGCCUUUGGGUUGUAAAAUCCUGUUCUGGGGGAAGAAACCUUAAGGGUCCAAUAAACCCUUAAGCUGACGGUACCCCAAGAGAAAGCUCCGGCUAAUUAUGUG
rnacentral:rRNA from 1 species